rnacentral:rRNA from 1 species
GACGAACGCUGGCGGCGUGCUUAACACAUGCAAGUCGAACGAAGAGCGAUGGAAGCUUGCUUCUAUCAAUCUUAGUGGCGAACGGGUGAGUAACGCGUAAUCAACCUGCCCUUCAGAGGGGGACAACAGUUGGAAACGACUGCUAAUACCGCAUACGAUCUAAUCUCGGCAUCGAGGAUGGAUGAAAGGUGGCCUCUACAUGUAAGCUAUCACUGAAGGAGGGGAUUGCGUCUGAUUAGCUAGUUGGAGGGGUAACGGCCCACCAAGGCGAUGAUCAGUAGCCGGUCUGAGAGGAUGAACGGCCACAUUGGGACUGAGACACGGCCCAGACUCCUACGGGAGGCAGCAGUGGGGAAUCUUCCGCAAUGGACGAAAGUCUGACGGAGCAACGCCGCGUGAGUGAUGACGGCCUUCGGGUUGUAAAGCUCGGUUAAUCGGGACGAAAGGCCUUCUUGCGAAUAGUGAGAAGGAUUGACGGUACCGGAAGAGAAAGCCACGGCUAACUACGUG